GGGUCAGUAGGUUGGUCGUGCCACCGGUACGUACUGGUCUCACUGAUUCCUCCUUCCUGAAGAACUGUAAUGCCAUUAAUUUGGUGUUGCGGGGAAACAGGACUGUUACUUCGAAAAAAUUAGAGUGUUUAAAGCAAGCUAACGCUUGAAUACAUUAGCAUGGAAUAAUGAAAUAGGACGAUCGAUCCUAUUUUGUUGGUUUCUAGGAUUGACGUA
rnacentral:rRNA from 1 species